rnacentral:lncRNA from 1 species
CAGCUGUCUGCAGCCCCGGGGGACUUCACUGUGUUUACGCGAAUGGUCAUAUGGUAACCUCUUCAGCUUACAGGUGCUGACUCAGCCAUUGAGACAUGUUAUCCAAGGAGCGGAGCUGGGAGGCGCCUGUGAGGACCGUGAGGGCCCACACCUGGGUGUUGCUUAUCUUGGGGGAUUUUCACCUCCUCUGCAAGAAGGGCCGCUGACCACAGGGCUCUGUAAAGUUGCUACCUGCCUUGCCGUAUUUUUCAGAACCCAUCUCCAAAAUGUUGGUACACAACAGGAUACAAAAGCACACACAAAGGGGAAAGCAAGAAGACCCAGCAGACAUGAGUGAAAACAGCUGCCUGCACAAGUUGUCCCCUAACAGGUACAGCCAAGAGUCAGAAGCACAGAGGGAGCUGGGGAAGCGACAUUUCUUACAGAGCCCACUGCUGUCCCUGUGUGAAGUGGCUCAUAUCAGCUCUCGAUUCUAUGCCGGUGUUCUGGAUUUCCUCUUGAGAUGUGCAUUUGUAUCAGCCAUCCUGUCCCCUGUGCCUCUGACGAGCUCCCUUCUGGAUGGCCUGCUGUCAUGCUGAGAUGACCCUUCACUAACAUCUGAGAAGUCCCUUUGCUGUUCUACGGUGUGGAAAACUUGUUUCCUCCAUCUCAUGUCUUCUUCCUUGCUUAAUUCCUUUGUUUAAUGAAACAAAUUAAUUCCUUUGUUAAUGAAACUUCCCAAUAGUUUCCUAAGAAAAGUGUGUAAGUGGUCAACUAUUUGCAACCUAAUAUGUCUGAAAAUUCUACAUAUACUUUUAACAUGUAGUUUGAUUGGGUAGAUGAGUCCAGUGUGGAAAUAUUUUUUCAAAAAUUAGAAGCUAUUGCACUAUUGUCUUGUAGUAUGGUGUGUUGCUUUUGAGAAGUUGUAAGCCAUUUUUUUUUAAUCCUUUGUGUGUUUAUAUCUUUUCUUCUGUUUUUGCACCUCACAACCUUUUAUUUAUUUUUUCUCAUCAAUGCAAUAAACUUUCAUGAUGACAGGGCUUGUGUGGGUCAUGCUGUUCAAUUCUGGGAAAUUUCCUUGACUGACUUUAUUGGUGAUUUCCUCCUCUCCAAUUUUUCCAUUCUCCCUCUUUGGAACUUUUUAUUAUUUGGGUGAAACAUAAUUAUUGGUCUGUAGUGGUCUUCUAAUUGUCUUUUCUCUUUUAUUUUCCAUCUGUGUC